GCUUCCGGCGGGCGGGCCGGAGCGGGGGUUGGCGGCGGCGGCCGAGGCGCUCGGCGGGGCCGGUCUGGGGGCUGCUCGUGUGUCCUUGCGCGCCGUCCGCCGUCAUGUCGGCUCUGGAGAAGCAGCUGCACCUGGGGCGCCUCCCGCCGCGGCCCCCUUUGCCCGGCGGCGGCGGCGGCCAGUCUGGCUCCAAAAUGCGCAUGGGCCCUGGAAGAAAACGUGAUUUUUCCCCAGUACUUUGGAACCAGUAUUUUGAAUCUAUGGAAGAUGUUGUGGUAGAAAAUGAAACUGGCAAGGAUACUUUUCGAAUUUACAAAAGUGGAUUGGAGGGGCCUGUCUUGCUGUUGUUACAUGGUGGAGGCCAUUCUGCUCUUUCCUGGGCUGUUUUUACUUCUGCAGUCAUUAACAGGAUUCAGUGUAGGAUUGUGGCUUUAGAUCUCCGAGGCCAUGGAGAAACAAAAGUUAGGAAUCCUGAAGAUCUUUCUGCAGAAACUAUGUCAAAAGAUGUUGGAAACGUGGUUGAAGCUCUGUAUGGGGACCUCCCUCCCCCUAUCAUGCUGAUUGGGCACAGCAUGGGUGGUGCCAUUGCAGUGCACACAGCGGCGGCAAAUUUGGUGCCAAGUUUACUGGGUUUGUGCAUGAUAGAUGUAGUGGAAGGUACAGCCAUGGAUGCACUGAACAGCAUGCAGAACUUCUUAAGGAGUCGUCCCAAAACGUUCAAGUCGCUUGAGAAUGCAAUUGAGUGGAGUGUAAAAAGUGGACAAAUAAGAAAUCUUGAAUCUGCAAGAGUUUCUAUGGUCGGUCAAGUCAAACAGUGUGAAGGAGCUGCCAGUCCUGAAUGUCCUAAAGCCAUAGUGGAGGGCAUUAUUGAAGAGGAAGAGGAGGAAGAUGAUGAUGAUGAAGGGGGAGGCUCUGUCAACAAAAGGAAGAAAGAAGAUGACACAGAGACGAAGAAAGAGCACCUAUACACGUGGCGAAUUGAAUUGGCGAAAACAGAAAAGUACUGGGAUGGUUGGUUCAGGGGUUUAUCUAACCUCUUCCUAAGCUGUCCAACUCCAAAGCUGUUGCUUUUAGCUGGUGUUGACAGACUGGAUAAAGAUCUAACAAUUGGACAGAUGCAAGGGAAGUUUCAGAUGCAAGUCCUCCCGCAAUGUGGCCAUGCGGUCCAUGAAGAUGCUCCAGACAAGGUUGCUGAAGCUGUUGCGACGUUCCUGAUCCGUCACAGGUUUACAGAGCCCAUCGGUGGAUUCCAGUGAAUGAACUACAGCAGCCAGGCCUCUGCAGUCAGCCAUACAGCAAUGAGAGUAGGUGUGUGUUUCCUGCUUGUUAAUACCCUGGUGUUCUCGUUAAUACCCCGGUGUUCUUCAGCACUGAGUCCCAUUGUAAAUAAACUGCACCAGAGGCCACUGUGAUGUAUCCAUAUCCUUUCAUCUCUCCAGUUCAGCAGCAAUGAGAAGUUGGUGUGAGAUUCAUCCCCUAGAACUAGUUCUCCAGGAUGUGUAAAUGGUUAGGGACUUCCUUGCUGGGAAGCAGCUUGUGUUGAAGAUCAUGCAAAGCUCUCCAGACCUGUGGAAGCAGGCUCCUCUCUGCUGCCGCAAGGAAAGACCUCCUGAAAUCCCGAGUAGUCAGUCAUACCAAUCUCCGUGAAUUCUCAGGCUUUUUUGGACCCAACUGCAAAGGGGCUGUUGGAAGUCCAGAUCCACAGAGGGCAUUGCAGCAAAUCCAAAGGCUUCAGGAUUUCUCCAUGGAAUCGCCUAAUCGUCUUUGAAAUGCCCCUUAGGUUUGUUUUGUUUUUUUUUUUUUUUAAUAUAUGUAUUUCUUUCCCCCAAAGCAGACAAGGAAUUGGCUUCAUUGGGAGCUCAGGGUUCAUCUCACCAAGGCCAGCCUUAAGGGUUAAGCUGUGGGAAGAGCCCAGAUGCUACUUUCCUGUUCAAAUUUGGACAGGAGUGUGAAGCAGAAAGGUGGGAGGGGGGUCUGGGAGCUCCAUUUCAGAGAGUCUUGCAGCCUUCUCAACAUUUGUUUCAGGUUCUCAGUGAGACACAUAGCCUCAGUAACUCAGUCCACUGCGGGCGUGUAACAGGCAGGGGACUCUGGCCCGCGGUCAUGGGGAAGACCCAAGAGCAGCGGUAACAAUGUGAUCAACAGGCCCUUUGCCUAUUUGGCCGUUCCCUGCCUCCGGAGUGGGUUUGUGCUUCCCUUCUUGUUGCCGCUACACUCAACUGAGCGGAGACCAGCACCUUUUGGAUGAAAAGAUGCAAAAACGUGCAGCAGAUACAAUAUUGGAAGAGCCUGGAGUCAGUCCUGCUAAUGUUGGCACAGGGUUGUAGGCAACUGCUUACUGGGUAAUGCUCCUCCCCAGUACUGGAGGAAAGACACUUCCUUGACUUUUCACUGAUGCUUCCUAGACGUUUUGCUGCCUGCCUGCCGUGUUUCCAUGUAAAAGCAGUAGUUACACAGAGAGCUGUUCUUCAGGGUUUGUCCCUAGGCGGUUUGUCAGAUUGGUUUCACUUCUCCUUAAAAAAAAAAAAAAAAACAACAACAAAAAAAGACCCCCCAAAACCCCCUCACUCCCGAGCAUAAGAGCAGACACGUUUUGGAGCUGUUUUCCUCUCUAUGUUGCUGGUCUUCUGAAUUUUUUUUUUUUUUUCUUGCCUUGCAUCCGUAGCGCGCUCGUGCUGUAUGAUGAAAGCGGUGUUUCAACGCUGCUUUGCUGAAGCAUAGGUCUGCUGCUGGCCUGGUCGCGGGAGCUGCAGUGGGUGGCUGUAAAUACGUCCGGUGCCAAGAGCCGUAACGACCGCUUUGCGUUUGGGAGGUGCAGGUGGGGGAAGAGGGAGCGCCGUGAAGAGCUGCUGAAGGCCAGCUGACCGCGGGGAUUUAUCCCGACAGAGAGCUGCUGUUCUCUUCCGCUUCGCUCGCGGGUGAGGCCUGGGCGCAGCAAGCUGGGGCCUCGCUCUGUGUCCCUUCGCUGACGCACUGGGGCAGGAGCCGCCUGAACUGGAAACAGGAAAGCCCAGUUCCAGAGAGCGCCGCUUGCCCCUGGCCCGUAGGCUGUUGGCACGCAGGUGUUGAAAGAGCAGUUUGUGGCUCCUGGCGUUUUUUCUCCGUAAGUCACCGUGUUAAUUAUUGUAUUAGUUUACUGUGACCUUGAUAACGUCCAUCCCGGUUUUAGCUGCGAGCCGAUUAAAACGGUCUGCAGCGGCCGAGUUCUGAAAUUAAAUUCUGGAGAAGCACGACUUUGUCCAGAUGCAUCCUGGAGACUGGCAAGAUCCUCGGUCCUUCCCAGAUCGCUCCUGUGGCUAAAUCAUUAGAAACUAAACGAGCA